rnacentral:rRNA from 1 species
GAGCGGCCCGCCCCGCGGCGCGCCAACAGGCCUGCCGAAGGACCCCUAAACUCUGUUUUGCACCUGUAUCUCUGAGUUUAUUAUACAAAUAAGUUAAAGACUUUCAACAACGGAUCUCUUGGUUCUGGCAUCGAUGAAGAACGCAGCGAAAUGCGAUAAGUAAUGUGAAUUGCAGAAUUCAGUGAAUCAUCGAAUCUUUGAACGCACAUUGCGCCUAAUAGUAUUCUGUUAGGCAUGCCUGUUCGAGCGUCAUUUCAACCCCCAAGCCCUAUUUGCUUGACGUUGGGAGUUUACGGAGACGUAAUUCCUCAAAUAUAGUGGCGGAGCUAGGUCGUGCUCUAAGCGUAGUAACCAAAUUCUCGCUUCUGAAGCCGGCCCGGGUCCUGCCGUAAAACCCCCUAUAUUUUUCUGGUUGACCUCGGAUCAGGUAGGAAUACCCGCUGAACUUAAGCAUAUCAAUAAGCGGAGGAAAAGAAACCAACAGGGAUUGCCCUAGUAACGGCGAGUGAAGCGGCAACAGCUCAAAUUUGAAAUCUGGCCUUCGGGUCCGAGUUGUAAUUUGCAGAGGAUGCUUUUGGCGCGGUGCCUUCCGAGUUCCCUGGAACGGGACGCCUUAGAGGGUGAGAGCCCCGUACGGUUGGACACCAAGCCUCUGUAAAGCUCCUUCGACGAGUCGAGUAGUUUGGGAAUGCUGCUCUAAAUGGGAGGUAAAUUUCUUCUAAAGCUAAAUACCGGCCAGAGACCGAUAGCGCACAAGUAGAGUGAUCGAAAGAUGAAAAGCACUUUGAAAAGAGGGUUAAAUAGCACGUGAAAUUGUUGAAAGGGAAGCGUUUACGGCCAGACCUUUUCCUGGCGGAUCAUGUGGUGUUCUCACCAGUGCAUUUCGCC